UCCCGCUUCUUGUUUCUCUUCCCCUCUCUCGAAGCUACGCGUGCGCUUCUCCGUUCUCUCGAUCGAACGAAAUGGAGGAGGAAAUCGGGGGACGCGGAAGUCGAAUCGCAGAGCUAAUGUGACUGGCAGAGUCAUCCAUGAAUGGUAUGGUAGAAGUGAUGACGGCGUCAAAGAGGGAAUUGAGGACUAGACUAGGGUGGGCUUGAUCUAAUAGAGCUGGGCAUGCUUGGGGGCAUCAAGGUGGCAGGGUGGUUGCAGUAAGGAUCAUUCUGGAGCAUGUGCAUGGUAGGGAUGAUUCAGUAAGGUUGAUGUCAAAGCUAAGGUUGGUGGUGCUGUAAUUAAAGCUGAGCUCAAAGAUGUGCUUGUAAGAGUAACCUGGUUAUCUGAAUAAAGUUAUAAUCAUAAUCCUAAUAUUGAACU